CUCUUGUUUUCAUUUACUCAAACUUCAUUUUUUUCCCUUUUGCGUUUUUAUUUUGUUUUUUUUUGUUGCCUAUGAGCAGUCUCAUCUUCUACAGAAAGCUGAGUAAAGGACUUCUGCCUUUUACCACACAUGUGUAUUUAUAAUGUACUGUGCUUAAGUGGGAAGAAUUCAGAGAGAAAAUUAAGCAAAGACAGUUUCUAAUAACUGUGAAGGAAAACGAAGGGCUAAAAGGUUUCCGUCAGAAGAAAUGCUGGUCCUUGGCUGCCUUCCAAGCACAUGAACUCCAGUCAGCAUUGUGUUUAGAAGCCAGGUACCACUUGAAGGGCACAAGAUACAGAACAAGUUAUGGAGAGGAGCCUAACACAGUCCAGCUACAGGGAAGAACUGGCCCAUCAACAAAAUAUUAAAAUUUGGUGGACAAGGUCACACCAAUUGUAGUUUACCACGAUUGGUGGUAAUAGUCUGAUGAUAUUAUCUCAUAAUCUGUAACAAAUGUUCCACCAAGGUGUGGAGUUGUACUGGAAAUCUACACCUCUGUAUGAUUGUUUGGCAAGUCCACAAUAUCUGUAACAAAAAUAUAUUUUAAAAAUACAGUAUGGGUUGGGAAAAAUACAGCAAAUAUAAGAUAAGGACUAUAGUUGGUAGUAAUAUUUUGAUGAUGCUCUUGUAGUUCGUAACAAAUGUUUCACACCAAUGCAAAAAGUUGGUGGAGGGGUGAUGUAUGAGACCCCUGUGUGAUGUUAUGUAUGUUUAUUUUGUAAGUUCACAAUCUUUACACUUAUUGUUUAUGUCAUGUAUGAGUAAUAUACUUCAAUAAAAAUUUUUUUAAAAAUUAGUAGACA
rnacentral:lncRNA from 1 species